UACGUAGGGUGCGAGCGUUAAUCGGAAUUACUGGGCGUAAAGUGUGCGCAGGCGGCCGCGCAAGUCGAGUGUGAAAUCCCCGAGCUUAACUUGGGAAUUGCGCUCGAAACUUCGAAGCUUGAGUUCUGGAGAGGAAGGCGGAAUUCUCGGUGUAGAGGUGAAAUUCGUAGAUAUCGAGAGGAACACCAGUGGCGAAGGCGGCUUACUGGUCCGGUUCUGACGCUGAGGCGCGAAAGCGUGGGGAGCAAACAGG
rnacentral:rRNA from 1 species